UGGCAGUGUUUAGAAUGCUUGCAGGGACUUACCUUUGUCACAGCUUUUAAGGUGUCUAUGGUAGGAAACCAAAAAUGGAUGUGCUAUGACUCUGUGUCAUGUGUGUUUUCAUGAUAAAUUCAGGGCACUUGCUUCACACUGGCAUCCAAAACUGAUAGUCCUGAUUGGUUUUUCACUAGGAAACUUCAUUCUGAAUAAUUCAUGUAAAGAACAGAAAAUUAUUGUGAUAAAUUCUAUACUAAAGUUUUAUUUACUAUAUAGUGCAUAUUACUUAAGCACAGUCAGCAUCUUGCUCAGAAGAAACUUCAGCAUAUUACUUAAAACACAGUCAGCAUCUUUUUACUCACUUCAGUUAAGUGAAUUCCAUUUUGGAGUGGACUCAUUGGCUUAAAGGAGGUUUUCAUAUUUGAAAGAAAAUGUGAACGCCCUUCUGUGUAACCUGAGGCUUGUCAUUGUAGGAAAUAUGAAUUCAUAAAACUUGCCUUGUGAUAAUUGUUAGGCACUAGACUGUCAGUUUGAAUGAUUGCAGUUCUCAUUAUCUUCAGAUGCUGCAUGUUAUUUUUUUUUGUCUGUGAAUAUGUUGAAUUGAUUUUUGGCACAUGCAGUCACUUCUCUUCCUGACAGCAGCACUAUUGUAGGUGUAAAGUGAGAAACUGCUGCAGUGUGCAUGGAAAAUUAGCUUUUUUGCUUGGGGAGCUACGGGGAACUUAAAAUAUAGUUAUUCAGACUGUCUUAAACACACACUGUUGAAGCCUCACUGUUGAGUGAGGCUUUGUUCCUUGAGUGUUGUUCUGUGGUUCUUAAUGACCUCUCUAUAAACACAUACUGAUGUAGACAAUAAAUGUUCUGGGUUUUAAUUUAAAGUAGUUGAAAAUUUUCUGUUUUAUUUUUGGCAGAUAUUUCCACAGAAAGGCAGUGUGAGACGUCUGCAUUUGGUAUUUUAAUAUGGCUGCCUUCUGUGUCUGGUCAUACUUCUUGAAAUAGUUCCUAGGAUGUGAUAAUAGGAAGAUUGGUCUUAAAACAUGAAAUAGUUCGUUUGCUUAAGUUUCAGGCUGCUUUAUUUCAGAAAUGCAAACUGUUUUGAGCCUUAGGACAUUUAUAAGAAUACCCUGUAGCAUUUUGACUGAGCAAAAGCUUUGGACAUGCUCUGUAAUUAGUAGCCUAAUCCUCCAUGUUUGGCUGCUACUUUUUGUUUGGUCUGUUUUCCUGCACUGUGUCACUUUGGUUUAUCCAAGCCAUGCAAUGUGUCUUUCCAGCAAUCUUUUUUCAGCCCCAGAGACACAGUGAUUGUUUAUUUUACCACUCUCAGGACAGUGGGAAUACAGAGGUUUGUGUGCACCACCUCUGAAGAGCUGCAGCUCACAAUCUUUCCUAUGAGUUAAUCUAAAAUCCUUAUUGCCUCGAGAUUACCAGAGGGGGAGAGGUGAAAUCUCUUGGCAGAGAUAAGGGUAGCCUUGUAAGUGAAACACAAGCCUGGGAUUUAUGUAACAAUCCUGAUAUCUGAACUUUGAUAAGCUCAGGUACAGAGAGGUUCAAUCCCUUGGUCACCUGAAGAACUGAAAGUAGAGCACGUCUCCCAGACUUUCUGUAAACCUCAGUUUAUUAAUGUUUUAGCAGAUGUUUGGAGCUCAAAUGGAUGGUGCUGUGGAAUAAUUUAUUGCUGCAGUCACUGAAAAUAGUGUGCCAGUAUUAUUUUCUUAUUUCUGGUUGUGUUCAUAUUUAGAUUUUUCAAGUCAGUUGUUCAAGAGCUGAGGCAUACCAUGAUCUCUUACCUGCCCUUGCUGGGUUAUUAUUGCUAACCCCAGCAUUUCCACGUUAAUUGUGAGUUUCAGACUCUUCCCAAUGGGACCUGCAGAGUCCUUGUGCUGUGAGAACAUGAGGGAUGAAGUCAGAAUAACCAAUAUAUUACCAAGCUUCAUUUAGAGUCAGUGUCUUUAGUUCUUCCCUUGAAGCUAGGGCAAACAAUGGCAGGUGAUUUUUUCCCAAAAUUGUUAUUUAUUUUAGGAAUAGAUGAGAGAAAUUCCUGUAUUGUGGCCUUUUGGAUUGAUCAGAAUUAUUUUCACCGAAAGCAGUUGUGGCCACCUAAGUACAAAUAGUGUAAAAUUUGCUGAGAGGAUGCCUUACUGACUGAGGGGCUUCUGCUUUUGUUAUUUAUUGCAGUGACCAAGUUUCCAUUAAAAAAAACAAGAUUCUGUGUCUAUCGUGAAUAUAAAACACUGUCAUGUUGAGACUAUAGUGUGAGUAUGCAAAAAUAUGUCAGUGUGAACUCUCAGCUAUUUGGCAAAGAGGAAUGUUUAUAAAAGAGGAUUGAAAGAUGUGCAGGGUUUCAGAUCUGUCAUAAAAGGAUGUGAAAUGUAAUUAACCUAACAUAACCUUUAAAAUAUUUUUUGAGCCUGAUAAAUUAAAUGAGCUGUUGAGAUAACUUAAUGAGAGAUUUUAAUUUUAUACCUUAAAUAAUAUCCUAUUAAAAUCCUCAAGAUUUUGCUUUGUGAUGGAAUCCACUGAGAUCUAUAUUUUCACAAUGACCUCAUGAUUCAGUAACAUUGUUAAUAUUUUUGGUGCAUAUUUGAGGGGUAAGGUCUAGGUUAAUGGCAGCAUUUAUUCUUUAAGUGCUUGAAGCCACAAAGCUCUAAUUGAAGAUAGGAAUGUUCAAACCUCAUUAUUUUAAUGUGGUCAUACAGUAUAGUGACACUUAAAGUAGUUAUAUGAUGAACUCCUGUGGCACGGUUCAUAGUUUGUCCAUGAAAACAAAUUAGUAUGUGAAACUUUGAAUUAAAAUUCUCUGCCUUGGAGUUUAAAUAAAACAUGAAACUUCAGGUCUGACAUGGUUUCUGUAUUUGUCUCUGCUCAAAUUAGCAACAAGCAUUUGCAUACCUUUAACACAGAGAAUUCUGCUGUGAAUUGUUUACACAAAGUUACAGUGCAUGCAUUGAAUCUCUCACACAAAGCUGCCUCGGUAGCUGCAGUGUGAUGUUUUUGUUUCAAGUGGUUAAGCCUGCAGAGGUACUUUUGGCAAAUCUGCACCUCAAAUUUUCUAAAUAUUGGUAAUUGAAAUAAUUUAAUGGAUGAGCUGUUGUCAAGGAAAAUACAUGCAGUGCUUAUCACAGUGUCAGGAAUCCAGGGGUUGGAGACAAAGGUCGGAAUGUUCAUUCCUGCUUGCAUUUCAUCAGUGCUGCUAACCUUGGUUAGAGCAGUUUGCACACUGGGCUGUCUCCAGACUCAGCUAGAGCCUUUUAAAGACCUUUCCUGCCUGUUCAGUGUUCCUAAGGUCUCCUUUCCCUCCUGUGUUCUCCCAGCAGUGUUUAUUUUUGUCCAUGGCUUUCCCUACUCCCACAAAAAACCUCCCCACAGUAAAAUUCAGUUCUUACUACUUGAUGAUAACCAGAAAAUUCUGGUUAUUUGUGAAUUUGGGCUGCUUUAUGCACACAUAUACUUCUACUGUGACCUCAUUAGUCCCUCUCCACUGUCAAUUCCUUGGGCAAUGAGCUCCUGGUCUGGCAAGUGUGAACACUGUAGAGUUGUAUCUUGUAUUGCAGUUUUACAGCUGCUCACAAUUUGCACUCCCCUUUUCUACUGCACAGUUACUACUUCUGGUACUACCUUUAUUUCUUUAGUAUCUCCUUGCUAAAUUAACAGUGUUCUGAGUCAUGGGCUUUGAUCCACAAGCUCUUUGAGUCUGCUCAAAUGAUAGUAUGCAACAUAAAAGUCAAGUCUGUGGGUAUUAUUAAAUCUAUCAAUAACUAUUUGUUUGGUUUUAGGUCAGGUUCUGAUGUCUUGCCUUAAAAUUAAUCUAUCAAAUAUUUUCUUUUAAAAUAAAGUAAAAUGUAGAGUGUUAUGAAUUUCAAAUGCAUACAUUUCUUAUCAGAGUUAAUUCUUGAAUCUUAUUAGAAUGAAAUAGGCUAAUGAAAGGGAAGUUUGGCAAGAUAAGUGAUUAGGUAUUUGAAAUGUGUAAUAUAGCAAACACGCAGAACUAUCUGAAUUGAGAGGAAAGAGCUAUGUCAGCAUUGCCAGGUUAUAUUGAUCAGGUAUCAGCAUCAGUCCUGAUUAAACAGGCAGCUGUUUAAAGUGGUAGUUUUGACAGUGACAUCUUUUGUUUUCUAUAUGAUUACUGGCCUGCUGACAUGUUUACUUUCUCAAUAGAAUUUACAUAUUGUGUUUAAAAUGUUGCUGACUGAGAAACUGUUGAAUUAUACAAGGCAGAGUAAAAAGAAAAGCAGACCUUCUUAUGGCUGAUAUGAGCAUGCAUGAAUAUCAGGUAAUAGCUACAAACAAACCAGUUGAUUUAUGUGCCAACUUAAUUCCAAGAGAGCACUCUAAUAAAUUGAAUGGCUUGGUUAUCUUCUUUUUUUUUAUUGAUAAAGGUGAUUUAGAAAUCA